AUGCUAUUUUUGUCUGCUCCGAGUCUUCAGGCCGCGCUUAUUCGCUUCGUGAGUCCAGAACGCGGGAAAAUGAAGAAGAAGUGAAGAAGUCUGAUUGGUCGCUUCUCUCGGACGGACGCGACCAGGAAGUGCUUGUGUGUUUGGGGACGUCAACACUUUUCCUCGAGCACCUCUGAUCAUUCUCACCUCGUUCACCGACUCCGGGAGCCGCUUCAUGGAGGAGCGGCGGGGAAAUUAACGUUAAAGUCGGUAAUCAUCACAGAUCGUGUGACUUUUGUGGGCAGAAUCGGGUUGAUGUUUGAUGAUGAUGAUGGCAGCAGCGGGCAAUGAGAGUCCAAACAGAAACAGUGAAGACAAAACAUCCUCCCGAAGACAGAAUGAAGUCAACAAGAAGCUGAAGUACACCAGUCUGGCAAUUCUGGUGAUCCAGAAUGCGUCGCUCAUCCUCAGUAUCCGCUAUGUGCGGACGCUUCCGGGUGAUCAUUUCUACACCACAUCGGCUGUGGUGAUGGCAGAAGUUCUUAAAGUCAUCACCUGUCUGUUCAUCAUCCUUAUACAGAAGAGAGGUAAUGUGAAGAGCUUCGUGUCGUUGUUGUAUGACUCUAUAGUCAUACAGUAUUGGGACACGCUGAAGUUAGCAGUUCCUUCACUCAUCUACACUUUACAGAACAACCUGCAGUAUGUGGCCAUUUCCAAUUUACCAGCAGCCACAUUCCAGGUCACAUAUCAGCUGAAGAUCUUGACCACGGCUCUGUUUUCAGUGCUGAUGCUGCGGAAGAGUCUGUCCAGGAUCCAGUGGAUCUCUCUGGUGCUGCUGUUCGCCGGUGUGGCCAUCGUCCAGGUGGAGCAAGAGAGCGGCAAGCAGAAGGAGGCCGUGACUGCGGCCAACCAGAACUACUUCAAGGGUCUGCUGUCCGUCAUCAUCUCCUGCCUCUCCUCGGGCUUCGCCGGCGUCUACUUCGAGAAGAUCCUGAAGGGCAGCUCGGCGUCAGUGUGGAUGAGGAACAUCCAGCUCGGGAUCUUCGGGACUGUUUUGGGUCUGCUCGGCAUGUGGUGGAACGACGGCGCCGCCAUCGCUGAAAAAGGCUUUUUGUUUGGAUACACACCAAUGGUGUGGGGUGUCAUUUUCAAUCAAGCGUUCGGCGGCCUCCUGGUGGCCGUUGUGGUGAAGUACGCGGACAACAUCCUCAAAGGCUUCGCCACUUCUUUUUCCAUCAUCGUGUCCACCAUCACAUCCGUCUACCUCUUCGGCUUCCACGUGGACCUGGUCUUCACGCUGGGCGCAGGAUUGGUCAUAGGAGCCGUCUAUAUGUACAGUCUCCCCAAAGCGAACACCAGCACUUCCAGCACAAGCACGGCUUCAUCCAGCAAAGCAGGAGAAUCGGAGCUGGAUGCGUUCCUCCCAAAGUCAGUCCUGGUGAAAUGAGCCAACUAAAAGUGUCUUCUCUGUGUCCCCUUUCAUUAAUCUCUCUCCGGGUGGAAAUCUCAACUCUAUUCACUCUUCGGCUUUCUUUUUCUCUGCUGCUGUGGGGUCUAAAGCGUCUGCUUCAGAUUAGGAUAUUUGUUAAAGGGAUAGUUCACUUUUAAAAAAUUACAAAUGAAAAUUCUGUCAUUGUUUACUCAGCCUUUACUUGUUUUUAAACAUUUAUAAGUUUCGUUCUUCUGUUGAAACACACAAAAGAAGAUAUUCUUAAGAAUGCUGUAAGAAUUGUCUUUCAUAGUAGGAAAAAAAUACGAUGGAAGUCAAUGGUUACCGGUUUUGGCUUUCGUCAAAAUACAUUAUUUUGUGUUGGAGUAAAAUUCUAUCAUUGUUUACUCAGCCUUUACUUGUUUUUAAAGCUUUAAGUUUUUUCGUUUGUUGAAACACAAAAGAAGAUAUUUCAAAGAAAGCUGUAAGAAUCGACUUCCAUUGUAAUUAUUUUCCUACAAUGGAAGUCAAUGGUUACCGGUUUUUGGCUUUCUUCAAAAUAUAUUAUUUUGUGUUCAAGUAAACUUCUGCCAUCAUUUAUUUAGCUUUUACUUGUUUUUAAACCUUUACGAGGUUCUUUCUUUUUUGUUGAAACACCCAAAAGAAGAUAUUUUGAAGAAUGCUGUGUAAAUUGACUUCUAUCGUAAUUUUUUUCCCUACUAUGAAAGUCAAUGGCUACCAGUUAUUGGCUUUCUUCAAAAUAUAUGAAUUUGUGAUCAAGUAAAAUUCUGUCAUCAUUUAAUCAGCCUUGACUUUUUGGUUUCUGUUGAAAGAAGAUAUUUCGAAGAAUGUUGCAAUCAUUGACUUCCAUAGUAUUUUUUCCCUGCUAUGGGUCACAAGUCAGUGGUUACCGGUUUUCAUCUUUCUUAAUAUAUAAAAUAUCAUCUUUUGUGUUCAACAGAAGAAAGAAACGGAUAAAUGUUUGGAACCACUUGAGAGCGUAAAUAUUGACUACAUUUAGAUUUUUUAGGUGAACUGUGCCUUUAAAAUGUUUGGAAAGCACAAAUCAGAGAGGUUUCUUUUCUUUUUUAAAUACCAAAAAUCAACCGUGGCAUAUUUAGUUUUCCUUUUCACAAGCAUAUCUCUCUCUCAUUUUAGAAUCUAUCUUCUCUGUUGGCCUUAAACAGCAUAUUCCUGUUAGACAGCUUGAUUUUCAGGGAAGAGGAUGUGAAUAUUGUGUGUUGAGGUAAUGAACGCUGGGCUGGAUUGACUUGAAAACUGAUGGGUGAAUCUCACAAGAAAACUGCUUUAAAUUUGAGGAGGAAAUGAAUGAAAGGAUGUUAAAGCUAUAGUUGACCAAAACGGAAAAUUCUUGCCAUUGUUUACCUUUUACGUAUCACAAAUCUGUUUGAGUUUCUUUCUGUUGAACACAAGAGAAGAUAUUUUGAAGUAUGCUGGAAACCUGUAACCAUUGACUUCCAUAGCAUUUCAAUUAAUGCUAUAAAGGUUGAGGCUUACAGGUUUUCAGCUUAAAAUAUCUUCCUUUGUGCUCAACAGAAGAAAGAAUCUCAAACCGAUUUGGAACCUCUUGAGGGAGAGUAAAAAUCUGAAGGCACCAGGAAAGAAGAAGGGAAAUUGAACAAACAUGAUACAUGGGAAGAAAUUAUGAAAACUCGUUAUGCCUACAGGUCCAACACUCCUGCUUUAUUUCCAAAAGAAAAGAAUUGAGGGUUAUAUUUCAAGUGCCUUAAAGUCUGAUUGUGUUGACUUACUUUAUAAAACCUCAUAUUUAUGUGAUGCAUAUGAUAUUCUGAUCGACUGAAGUUGUAUAACGCUAAUGUAAAAAGGGAUAUUUUGUGUUUUGAAUGGUGGAACUGGAGAUAGAAAUAGAUGAAAAUGUCCUCGUCUUACUUAAAAUUCAGAAGGUACUGUAUUUUUUUUUUUUAUCAAUGUUUUAUUUAUUUUUACUUUAUUUGCAUUCCUAUGCUUUUUGACUAAAGUGUUUUGCAGUGUUGUGCGUUUAUUGUAGCUAUCUUGCUUGUUUUGUAUUAGUGCCUUAUAUAUUUGGACUGUUAUGUGUGUGAGCAUUACAGACCUUCUCCAAAGUGCACUUUCAGGUGAACUGUUCUAUACAUGAAUCUUACUCCAGAUGAUGAAAGAUGAUUUUUAGAUGAUGAAAUCUGCAUCUCGGACACGUUGUGGAUGUGUAAGUUGCCUUUUCUUGGAUUUGGUCAUAAUGUCUAGGCCUUAUUGACUGAGAUGCAGAGAAAUAUGCAAAGCAUCAUUCAGCCGCUUGAACAAAAUCAUCCUUCAUCCUUUCAACGUUCGAAUUUAAAGCAGAACUAAAUGUUCAGUCAUUUCAGAAGAUUAAUAAAUCUUAUGGUUGGAAUAAAUAUUGUUUUAAAAUCUGA